rnacentral:lncRNA from 1 species
AUAUGUGGAUGUUUUAGGAGCCCGUGACCUUUGAGGAUGUGGCCAUGAAUUUCACCCAGGAGGAGUGGGCUCUGCUGGAUCCUUCCCAAAAGCAGCUCUACAGAGAUGUGAUGCAGGAAACCUCUGGGAACCUGGCCUUUCUAGGUAAAGGUGGCAUGAUUCCCUGGCUUGGUCAUUGGAAAGCAAAUGUCCCUUGUUCAUCAGUGUUGCUGCAUAAUUCUGAACGUGAAUUUGGGAACACUGGGGUGAAGACACGAGGCAUGAUCCUAUUAUACUUUGAAUAUAGCUAGAACCUAAUAAUUUUUCUAUAAUGUUGAAUGAUUCAUAGUGGUUUUUCUGGGUCUACAUUUUAGGAGAAAAAUGGAAAGAACUAAAUGUUGAAGAUGAGUUCAAAAGCCACAGGAAAAACCUAAGGUAAUUUGCACUCAUAAGGGAAAGCAGUGUUCCUGCAGAGUCUUGGAAUGAUAGGUAUUUUUGAAACAUGAGCACAUGGUACAAAUAAGGGCAGCUUCAAGUUGAUUUAAUCUCAGAAGUGUUCCUCCCAACUGUAUACAGGUUGAGCAUCUGAUGUGACUUGGAUCUGGAAUGUCCCCCAUAGGCUGAUGUGUAGCAGGUUUGUGCACAAUGCAGCAAUGUUCAAAGCUGGGGCAUUGGGAAGUGAUCAGAUAAAGAAGGACCUAACCUUAUCAGUGCAUCAGUCAAUUAAUAGAUGCAUAACUUUUUUAAAAGGAGGAAUCUAUUUUUAUUUAUUUUGAAAAUAUUCUUUGAGACAGGGUCUCGGUGAGUUGCUUAGGGCCUCACUAAGUUGCUGAGGCUGGUCUUAAAAUUAUAAUCCUCCUGUCUCAGCCUCCCAAGUCUCUGGAAUGACAGGCAUGCACUACUGCUCCUGGCGUAUAUUCGUAAGUGGAUGGCAUUCCUGGGAGGUGGCAGGGACUGUAGGAGAUAUGGACUAGUUGGAGGAAGUAGGGCCCUACAAGACUUCAAGCAUGCCCUGGAAGGCUUUAUCUUUGCCUGACCCCCUUCCUCACGUUUGAGUUUUAGCCACCAUUAGGGGAGCAACUUUGCUCUACCUCGCUCCCCACCAUGAUGUUCUGCCUCAAGCCCAAAGGGAUGGAACCUAUCAACUAGCAACUGAAACCUCUGAAACUAUGGACCAAAAAUAAAUCUUUCAUAUUUUAAGUUGUUUUUCUUAUACAUUUUGUCACAGGGAUGGAAAGCUAAUAGCCUCCAUAAUCAGAAAAUCCCAAACCCCAAAUAUUAACUAUUGGAAACAUUGGGAGCAAUAUAAUGCUAGGAGUGACAGUUUUUCAUAUGUGUAUAUGUGUGUGUGUGUGUACAUACACACACAUUGUUUUAUGCACAAAAUUAUUAAAAUUUUUAUAUUACCUUCAGAUUUUUGGUAUAAUGUAUAUGUGAAACAAAAAUGAAUUUUGUAAAGUAGAAGACAUAUUAAAGAUAUCUCAUUAUGUCUGUGCAAAUAUAUCAAAAUCCAGUGUACUUUUGGCCACUAUAUAAGGAAUACUCAAGUACCUACCAUAUAGAACCACAUGUAAAUACCAACUCUUUGUAAUAGCUGUUUUGGAAACUUUCUACUGAGUGUUCAAUCCAUUGAUGUUCAAAAAUUCUUACAGGGCACAAAACCAGCACUUCUGUAGCAAAAAAAAAAUUUGGGGGGGGGGGGAGGUACUGAGGAUUGAACCCAGGAACACUUGACCACUGAGCCACGUUCCCAGCCCUAUUUUGUAUUUUAUUUAGAGACAGGGUCUCACUGAGUUGCUUCAUGUCUUGCACUUGAUGAGGCUGGCUUUGAACUCAUGAUCCUCCUGUCUCAGCCUCCUAAGUCACUGGGAUUGCAGGUGUGCACCACUGCGAUGGCAGAAAUUAUGGAGGCACCACUGGGAUAGUAAAUUAUUAAUAAUGAAAACCUAGGGGCUGGGGUUGUGGCUCAGUGGUAGAGUAUUUGCCUAGCAUGCUUGAGGCAACUGGGUUUGAUCUCCAGCACCACAUAAAAAGACUAAACAAAGGUAUUGUGUCCUUGUACAACUAAAAAUAUUAAAAAUACAAACAAAACCUUAGUAAUGUGCUUCUCAUUUUUUACAGAAGUCAAGUGGUUGAGAGACUCUGUGAAUGCAAAGGAGAUAGUCAGUGUGCGGAAAACCUUAACUGGACUCCAGAGCAUAUUUUGAAGGAAAAAACUCCUCCAGGAGUAACACCAUGUGAAAGUCCUGUGUGUGGAGAAGUGACCAUUGGUCAUUCAUCCCUAAAGGUGCCCCUGAGAGGUCCCACUGAACACGAACCAUGUGAGCAUCAGGAAUAUGGAGAGAGGCCAUAUAAUCAGAAGGAGUGUGGGAAAUCCUUCAGCUAUUCUCAGUGUUUGCAGACUCAUGAAAGGACUCACAGUGGAGAGAGACCCUGUGACAAAAAAUGUGAUGAAGCCUUUAGGUGUUCCAGUCCUGUUGGAAAUCAUAAAAGGACUCACACUGGCGAGAAGCCCUAUAAAUGUAAGCAAUGUGGGAAAACCUUCGCUCGUUCUAGUAUCCUUGUAGAGCAUGAAAGAAUUCACACUGGAGAGAAACCAUUUGUGUGUAAGAGUUGCGGCAAAAGAUUUACUCGUUCUAGUUCCCUUUACACACAUGAAAGAAUUCACACUGGAGAGAAACCCUUUGUUUGUAAGCAAUGCAGUAAAGCCUUCUGUGAUCAGAGUUCCCUUCGAUACCAUGAAAGAAUUCACAGGGGAGAGAAGCCAUAUGUAUGUAAGCAAUGUGGGAAAGCCUUUGCUUGUUCUGGUACCUUUCGAAAACAUGAAAGAAUUCACGAAGAAGAGAAACCCUAUAAAUGUCUGCACUGUGUGAAAGCCUUCCGUUCUGACAGUGCCUUUCGAAAACAUAAGAGAGUGCAUACUGGAGAGAAACUCUAUGUAUGUCCGCAUUGUGGUAAAGGCUUUGUUUAUUCCGUUUCUUUUAAGUACCAUGUAAAGACGCACAAUGGAGAGAGAGAAAAGAAACCCUAUGAAUGCAAGCAGUGUGGUAAAACGUUCUAUAGUGCCAGUUACCUGAAAGAACAUGAGAACAUUCACAGUGGAGAGAAACCCUAUGAAUGCAAGCAGUGUGGUAAAGCCUUCCAUAAUUCCGCUUCCCUCCGAAAACAUAACAAAGUGCACACUGGAGAAAAGCCACAUGUAUGUGAGCAAUGUGGGAAAACCUUUGCUUCUUCUAGUUCCUUUCGGAGACAUAACAAAGUUCACACUGGAGAAAAACCACAUGUAUGUGAGCAGUGUGGGAGAGCCUUUGCUUGUUCUAGUUCCUUUCGGAGACAUAACAAAGUUCACACUGGAGAAAAACCACAUGUAUGUGAGCAGUGUGGGAGAGCCUUUGCUUGUUCUGAUUCCUUUCGGAGACAUAAAAGAACUCACACAGGAGAGAAACCCUAUAGAUGUAUGCACUGUGGAAAAGCCUUCAGUUCUGACAGUGCCUUUAGAAGACAUAAAAGAAAAAAAAUGCAUACUGAAGAGAAACCAUAUUUUGACAGCAUUGCAGCAGAGCCUUCAUUUAUCCCUCUUCAUUUAAAUGCCUCGUAAGAACGCACAAUGGAGAGAAACCUUAUGUAUAUGAGCAAUGUGGGAAAACCUUCCUUAUUUUGAAUCAUUUUAUAGCACAUGAACAAGCUCAUAGGGGCAAAUCCUAUGUGUGUAAGCAGUGUGAGAAAAUCUUGUUUCCCAGUUCCCUUCAAAUACAUGAAAGAUUAUACACUGGAGAGAGACCCUACGUUUGUGAGCAGUGUGGGAAAGCAUUCCGUUGUUCCACUGCCCUGAGAACCCAUAAAAAAACGCACAGUGCAGCGAACCUGUACGAACUCAAGCAGUGUGGUAAAGCAUUUGGAGAUCCCAGUUCCCUGAAAACAUGAAAAAAUUCACAGUGGAGAGAAACCCUAUGUAUAAAAGUCUCCAUUUGGCUCACACAUGUGGAUGCACACUGAAUCAAACCUUGUCAUUGUGAAGAAAAAAAAUAAAACCCAAGAAAGUUAUUAGUUGAAACACAGUUUCAAUUAAUGAAAAAUUGUCAUGUAGUGCAAUCUUAUGAGUAAUAUGAAGAACUCGAUGCAAAGUAAUUUGUGUAAAAUACUCCAGAAAAUACGCAAUCUGAAGGAAUUACUACAAGUUAUAAUAAAGAUAUUGUGUUUAUCAGUGGCUCAUUCUUGUUGUGGGGGAGUAAUGGGAGUUGCAUCCAAGGGCACUGUACUACUGAGCUACAUCCCCAGCCCUUUGUUCAGGCAAUACAGAGGGUGGAGCAUCAUACUCCAUACAACCCCACCUACAACUGCUGAGAAUAUUUUGAACUCCAAUGGAAAGAAUUCUUUAAAUUUUCAUCAAGGUUUUAAAAUUUUUUUUUUAAUUCUUUUUCUCUGUUUAAUUAUUACCUUGAUAGUACAUGGACAUUUAUACAGUUUAAAAUUUUUCUGUUCUUCUAGUAUUUUUGAAGCCAGUUUUUUUUUGUUUUGUUUUUUUUUUUUCACGGAUUAGGUUUUUUGUUAAACAGGAUGCUUGAUUAGUAUAUUUUAGUAUUGUUUUGUAUUUAUUUUUAAUUUUUAAAGUUUUUUACUUUACAUAUUUUUUUUCUUCUACCUGUUUCCCUUGAUUCUCUUCUGCUAGCAGCCAAUCUCUAUUCUCUUUCACACUUCCUUUAAUUUUUUACUUCUCUCCUCCCUCAUAAUCUCACAAGCUAUCACUUCUGUUUUCUCUGUCCACCAUUUGAAAGUAUAAACCCUUUUGCAAGCUGGUUGUUAUUAUUGUAGGCAAUAACUGGUCAUAUCAUUUCUGUUUAUUAUGAUAAUUAACUUUGUAGACAUCAUAGUAGAAAUAUUUGGUUUAAUGCUAUAUAUUGUUUGUAUUGGUUGUUGUUAAUUAUUUGUCUACCCCUUGAGGUACGUUAAACCUUCAGAGACACUGUAAGUCCACAAGAUAGAAACUCUGCUGCCUCAGAUCCAUAUUGUUAGAUGGGUAGACAUACAAACAACAUGAAAAAUCAUCACCUCAAGCAAACCAAGAUACUUCAAUAACAGAAUCCAUUGACACCACAGUGGAAGAAAUGUUAGGGAAGGAGUGAAUAUCAGAGAAAAUACAGAAAGUAAAAGGUCACUUCAAUAGAGAGAGGCAGAGAAGAUUGGGGGGGGGAGAACUCUUUGAAAUGAAAGAAUCAAUAAACCAAAUUAAACAUUCAAUGGAAAGCAUCACCAAUAGACGAGAUCACUUGGAAGACAAAACCUCAGGUAAUGAAGACAAAAUAUAUAACCUUAAAAAUAAAGUCAACCAUAGUGAGAAGAUGUUAAAAUAUAAACAGAACUUUCAAGAACUAUGGGUUAACAUGAGAAGACUGAACUUAAAAAUUUUUCUCAUCAGGAUAGAUGAAGAUGUGGAGAUACAAAUCAAAGGAAUGCACAAUCUUUUCAAUGAAAUAAUAGAAAAUUUCCCAAACCUAAAGAAUGAAAUGGAAAAUCAAAUACAAGAGGCAUACAGGAUCCCAAAUGCACAAAAUUAAAACAGACCCAUACCAAGGCACACUAUAAUGGAAAUGCCUAACAUACAGAAUAAGGAUAGAAUUUUAAAGCUGAAAGAGAAAACUAUCAGAUUACUUAUAGGAGGAAACCAAUUCAGAUCUCAGGUGAUUUCUCAACCCAGAUCCUCAAAGCUAGGAGUUCCUGGAAUAACAUACCAAACUCAAAGAAAAUGGGUGCCAACCAAGAACCCAAAUCCAGCAAAAUUAAGCUUCAGAUUUGAAGAUGAAAUAAAAACUUUCCAUGAUAAACAAAAGAAAAGGUAUUUGAAACUAGAAAGCCUGCACUACAGAACAUUCUUACCAAAAUAUACCAUAAAGAUGAAAUGAGAAAAGUGAAAACCAGCUUGUUUUUGUAGGAACUACACUAAAAGAAUAGUCAAAUGAGAAACUAAUGCAAGUCAAAAACUAGAAAUAGGUGCUAAAGUUGUGGCUCAGUGGUAGAAUGCUUGCCCCACAUGCGUGGGGCACUGGGUUUGAUCCUCAGCACCACAUAAAGGUAUUGUGUUCAUCUACUACUAAAUUUUUUUUUUUUAGAGAAUUUUUAAAAAUAUUUUUUAGUUUUCGGCGGACACAACUUCUUUGUUUGUAUGUGGUGCUGAGGAUCGAACCCGGGCCGCACGCAUGCUAGGCGAGCUCGAUACCGCUUGAGCCACAUCCCCAGCCCCCUACUAAAAAAAUUUUAAAAUGUUAAUCAGAAGGGACAAGGAUAUUCCAUACUGCUUAAGGGAAUUACCCAUCAAUAAGAUAACAGUCAUAAAUAUUUAUGCCCCAAACAAUGGAGCAUCUACACACAUCAGUCAAACCCUUCUCAAUUUCAAGAAUCAAAUAGACCACAAUUCAAUAAUACUGGGUAACUUUUCUGUGACCACUGGAUAGAUGCUCCAAACAAAAACUAAAGCCAAAGAACUAAAAAAUACAAUUGACAAUGUGGACUUGGACUGAAUACACUUUCUUAGCCAAUGGAGCCUUGUGUAAUAUAGACCACAUAUGUUCACAUACAAUUGUAAUAUUAAUAUAUUUUUAGCAACUGAAGGAUUAUUUAUAUAGCUCUCUUUCCAUUUAUAUUUUUUGUGUUCUUGCUUUUUUCUUGAUUAGAUUUGUUUAUCAAACUUAAGGUGUAUUUCUUAUUU